AACGAACGCUGGCGGCGUGCCUAACACAUGCAAGUCGCACGAGAAAGUCUGCUUCGGCAGAUGAGUAAAGUGGCGCACGGGUGAGUAGCGCGUGGGUAAUCUACCCUCCCGACGGGGAUAACCUCGCGAAAGCGUGGCUAAUACCGGAUGUCAUCUUCGGAGCCACGGUUCCGGAGACAAAAGGUGGGGAUCUUUGGACCUGCCGCGAGAGGAUGAGCCCGCGUACCAUUAGCUUGUUGGUGGGGUAAUGGCUUACCAAGGCAACGAUGGUUAGCUGGUCUGAGAGGAUGACCAGCCACACUGGCACUGAAACACGGGCCAGACUCCUACGGGAGGCAGCAGUGAGGAAUUUUGCGCAAUGGGGGAAACCCUGACGCAGCAACGCCGCGUGAGUGAUGAAGGCCUUCGGGUCGUAAACCCCUGUCAGCAGGGAAGAAGGCCUUGAUGGUGAAUCAGGGUUCGACGGUACCUGCGGAGGAAGCCCCGGCUAACUACGUG
rnacentral:rRNA from 1 species